CUCUUCUAGUAUACUAAUUACAAUUGACUUCCAAUCUUUCAAAUCUGGUAUAAACCCAGAGAAGAGCA
rnacentral:tRNA from 1 species